CCCAGACUCCUACGGGAGGCAGCAGUGGGGAAUAUUGCACAAUGGGGGAAACCCUGAUGCAGCGACGCCGCGUGGGCGACGAAGCGCUCCGGCGCGUAAAGCCCUAUCGGCAGGGAAGAAGCAAGACGGUACCUGACUAAGAAGCCCCGGCUAACUACGUGCCAGCAGCCGCGGUAAUACGUAGGGGGCGAGCGUUAUCCGGAUUCACUGGGGGUAAAGGGAGCGUAGACGGCCAUGCAAGCCAGGGGUGAAAGCCCGGGGCCCAACCCCGGGACUGCCCUUGGAACUGCAUGGCUGGAGUGCGGGAGGGGCAGGCGGAAUUCCUGGUGUAGCGGUGAAAUGCGUAGAUAUCAGGAGGAACACCGGCGGCGAAGGCGGCCUGCUGGACCGCGACUGACGUUGAGGCUCGAAAGCGUGGGGAGCGAACAGGAUUAGAUACCCUAGUACU
rnacentral:rRNA from 1 species